GUGACUGCCACUGGCCCCAUAAAAUUGUUGGUCCAUGCGGCAGCGAAGUGCUCGUCGACUCGGUCGGUGACCAAUGAAGACGCCCGUGAAAAAACCUAGAUCGAGCAGUCAAAGGGAUCACGUCCUCCUCGUUCCAUCCACUCCCUCGCCUCCUUCUUCCUCCCCAUCCGGCGGCGCCUCCUUCCUCUUUCCCACGGCCUCCCGCAUCGUGCUGAGCCUCGCCGGCCGCUUCCCCCAGCCGGUGUCCCUCUCCAGAUGCAUCCUCCCCGAGAUUCGGGUACGGAGAGAGUCACGGUGGCAGGGGCAGAUGCGUGAGGACGAGGAGGCCAUGGUCAUGGUGGCGCGACGGAGGUCGUGGCUCGCCCCCCGCCGCCUCUCUCGUGCCCCCCUUUUCCCUACCCCCUCCCCGGCGUCCUUGCCUCUGCCAUGGCCUCCGCCCGAUUCCAGAUCGGCCGCAGGUCGAGGAGCGGUUGCUGUAGUGAGGGCAGCAGCGUGCAGAGGGGGAGAGGUCAAGGACGGUUGCCAGUUCAUGGAGGAGAGAUGCAACACAACGUUGAUUCCUACGCUGAGUUUUAGUGGUGGCAUGGUGUCCAUCUCCAGGUUCAGCAGCGGCAAUCCUCGAGAUAGAUUUAGGCCGAUCUGAAUAAACAGAGAUGAGCAGCAGCAGGGUUGGGUGCUCCAUUUGUAUGCGUUGCAUUGGUUAAUUUUGUUGUGCUCAUGUUUCUGUUUCAUGCUAUUGUCCACGAGUUCUACUUGUUGCUUAUUUCCAAUUAAGUACUUAGUUCCAUAAUGCUCUGGCCAACCUAUUUUAUUGCAACAUUUGUGGUUCUUUUGUGCCAGAUUAGGUGUUUGUAUUUUUUUCCGAGUUCUUAUGGCAUACUUUCUUAAGAUUUUUAUUUGUGACACUUGCAGAAGUGCGGUUCAACAUUAGUUAGUAAUGCCCAGUAAGUUACUAAGGUGUUAUGUAACUGCAAUCCUUGAAAGCAGAGAUGAGAUAUCUAUCCAAUUCUACAUAUAUGGUUUAAAGUUCAUUGCGACAACCUUGCUCAUAUGUUUCGAUUACUACAGAGCAAGGUUGGUUUAAAGUUCAUUCUAAAAUUCUUCUCUUUGUUGUAUCAUUUCUACAUAUAUCCUUUAAAGUUAGAGAAAUUUAGAUGUGAAAUGCCCAGAGUAUUAUGUCACACUUUUAUCAGAUUGCCAAGUUGGUAGCCGCUUUUGCGAUUAUAAAUGUUUUUUUUCAGAGCGGCUGCUACUUCAGUGCCCAACUUUGAAGAAUGUACAUGCAUUUGGAUGCCAAGAUAUGUCGAUUGGUGCAAUUAGAACCCCAGGUGGCUAUGUUGUUGAUGGGGAUUAAUUAUUGUACUACCCGCAAGAAAAUAUUGUACUGACAUAUCUGAGAAUUUUAAUGAUCUAUCUGCAACCAGGUACCUGCCAUUCUCUGAUCCAUAUUCUAGAUGCUUCCAUUGCUACAACAUUCUCAAGCUAUAUUGCAAAGUUUGUUGCUUAUAUAGUUAUUACUAUUGGUCUAUAUGGUGUCGGCUGGAUGUGUGCCACCUGAAAGAUCUCAUUGUUUGUAACCAGGCAAUACAAACAUUCCAUUACUACCAGACAUGUCUUUCUUUGGAAUAUGAGGAGGGAGCUCUGUUGUUGUCAGUGGCUACAUCAUUUCGACCAGUGAUAUGGUUAAUCUUUGCGAUGUGGACCAAUGGCAUGAUCUGUACCUAAGGUUGGAGUUGCUGAAUUAGCUACUUCCUUUUGUGGAUGAUUAAUUAUUUGCAUGAAGGUUCAGAGAAUGGCCUCUAUUGCCUUACAGUCCAACUGAACACGUGAGAAAUUACUGAUGCGCAUGGAUGACAGCUUUCCCACGACGAAGCAAAAUUGCAGGACCUAUUAGGAUGCAUACCUGAAGGAGUGCAUCUACUGGCCCAGCUGAAAAUCGAUCUCUAUUUGGUUUAUGUAUUCUAUUUUUGCUCUCGGUUUUGUCUACCGCUCGUCCUUGGUAUGCUCAUCCAUCUUGCCUGCUUUGCUUGCCUCCUUCUCCUCUCCAAUUCAGGUUCUGCGAUCCCUUGUGUUGCUGCGUCCCGAUCUCCAGCUUUGUUGCAUCUCUGUUCUGCUCCUCGAGGUGCUCAACAGGAGAAGCACUCAAUAGGAGAAGCAGGAGCAGCGGAGCGUUCGCCUCGUUGCAGGUUAAAUGUCAGUGCUUCACAAUGCACUUUAUACUUUGCACGAUCUAACAAUGCAUGCCAGACUUCUGAUAAUUAUACAAUAGGUGCGUGGACAAACAGAUGCCAGGGGCAUUGUUUCACACAACACCUACACCAAUGACCACUGGACAAGUGAAGUAAAGGGACUUGUGAACAACAUGAAAAACUUUCAGCCAUCUUUUGAUUACAUGGAAAUAUGCCUUUGAUGCAUCCGUGUUAUUAUUUACUGACCGACUGUGUUUAGCAACUUCAGUGUGUCGAUCAAAAUUACUACUCCCUCCAUUCGAAAAAGCUUGUCCCACGAAUGAUUGUAUGUAGCAUCAAGUGGUAGAUACAUCCAUUUGAGGAACAAGCUUUUCCGGAUCGAGGGAGUAUAUGAUGUAAUUGACCAAUAUCACUAAGAAGUGCUCCUGGACACAAAAUGCUCUAUAUUAUCAUGUCUUGAAUUUUCUAAUUGCAAACUCAAACAUUUGCAUUUUGUUCUUCAUUUCAGUUGGGCUUUUGUGUCAAUUUUAUCAAUUUCAUACAUUACAAAUGAGAAAAAUAUAUAUUUUUAUACAGAUCCACGACACUUCGCAAAAGAGUGUACAACAACAUCGUCUGCUACCAAAAAAAAGCAAAGUAAUCUCUUUUUAGUUCUUGCUUCAAAUUUUCUCGCGCG
rnacentral:rRNA from 1 species